UCGUGCUAGGCGGAGGGCUCGGGGUCCUCUAUCAACCGCAAAUCCCCGUUACGGCGGGCUGAAUUCCUAUCAGAGGGCUUGGUUGGUGAUCACAGCCUUUUCUUGAAGCGUCGAAGGAUGGGUUCCACACGGCGGAAGUCCGUGAACCCCGCCAGGUCCGGAAGGAAGCAACGGUAAACGUAAGCUUCCGGGUGAUGUGGAGGUGCCUGUCCCGAGUGGAUGGUUAAGGAUAUGGGUCAUUGGCUCGAGUUCGAGGGUGGGUGCACGA
rnacentral:SRP_RNA from 1 species